UGGUUCUGGCAUCGAUGAAGAACGCAGCGAAAUGCGAUAAGUAAUGUGAAUUGCAGAAUUCAGCGAAUCAUCGAAUCUUUGAACGCACAUUGCGCCUCCGGGUAUUCCCAGAGGCAUGCCUGUUCGAGCGUCGUUUAGACCAUGAGGCUUUGCCUUGCGAUGACGUUUGGAUCGCUCGUCGAUCCAUGCGUUCAAACACGUUGGCAUCUGAAGUUGGCCGAAGCACAGCAAAAAUGUGUUGGGUCAGGAUGAAAGAUUGCCUGAGUUUUCAAGAUUGCGGAUGUUGAUUUCAGUUCAGUAUCCGGAAUCCAUACGGUCGACCUCGGAUCAAGCAAGACUACCCGCUGA
rnacentral:misc_RNA from 1 species